AUUCAUCUGUGUGUAUUGUCUGUAGUUCGAUAUUAGUGGACUUAGUGCACAGCGAGUAAUCAGUGAAGAAACUCAAACUGUUUGAAUAAUGCUUUGGAUACUUAUAAUCCUUCUUAUGAACAUGUACAAAGCGUAUGAUGUUAUUCAAUUAAACCGAGUAACAGAAGCUGCACCUGGAGAUACAGUGACUUUAGAUUGCUUUUCCCCUGUGGCUUUCAAACACGAAUCACUGUCCUGGUACAAACAAACUCUGGGACAAAAGCCUGUUUUAGUGGCUAGGACUUAUGGUGCCACUAUAACCUGGAAUCCUUUGUUUUCUGAAGACUCUAAAAAUGGACGAAUGAACAUACAGCACUCUGAAGGAACAUUUACAUCUGACCAUCACAAACGUCACAUCAUCUGAUGAAGCAACAUUUUACUGCACAUUGUCAGUUUUUCAAGAGGUGAAAUUUGGAAACGGAACGUUUUUGGCUCUCAAAGGACACAGACAGUUUAACCUCAGCUUUAAUGAUGAUAGAGCAUUCUUCUGCGCAGUGGCCAACUGUGGACAAAUGAACACUGAAAAGAAAACAGUUUUGAACACAGAAAAAGCUGUGGAUCCUGUUGUUUAUGGGUUGGUUGCUGUGUCAGGACUGUGUUUUGUGCUCAUAUGGUCCUUAAUUUACCAAGACAGGAAACACAAACAUGACAAAGACGAUGCCACCCAUAGAGGCUACAACAAUAGAGAUGACCUUGAUCAUAUUACUGAACAGAUGCCAAUAUUGAUCAUUCCAGAUGGCAAUGUCUUCACAUCUAUUAUCUACAAAGUCAAGAACCUCUAAGUGCUGCCCUUUCAGCUUUCAUAUCUGUUACCUGCUCCACCAAGUUGGCCACCAAAACAGACACACGCACGCACAAACAUUACUAUUUUUACUGCUCCUCCCCCUUUGUUGCCUACAUGUUGCCUCGUGUCAUUUUGUAGUAACUGAUGAACAUAGAUUUUGCAUGGUGCCAUUCCUUCCCUGCUGUACAUAGAGAGCUGUAUUGUGACCACAUGCAACAAAAAAGUGCCCUUUCUGCUGAAUAAAAAAAUAUAAAAUA